rnacentral:rRNA from 1 species
UGAGGAAUAUUGGACAAUGGAUGGAAAUCUGAUCCAGCCAUGCCGCGUGCAGGAAGACGGCCCUAUGGGUUGUAAACUGCUUUUGUAUGGGAGCAAUAAGGACUACGUGUAGUUUGAUGAGAGUACCAUACGAAUAAGCAUCGGCUAACUCCGUGCCAGCAGCCGCGGUAAUACGGAGGAUGCGAGCGUUAUCCGGAUUUACUGGGCGUAAAGCGCGUGUAGGCGGUCUGGUUAGUUGGAUGUGAAAGCUCCCGGCUUAACUGGGAGAGGUCGUUCAAUACUGCCAUACUAGAGAGUGGUAGAGGGAGAUGGAAUUCCGGGUGUAGUGGUGAAAUGCGUAGAUAUCCGGAGGAACACCAGUGGCGAAAGCGAUCUCCUGGACCAUUUCUGACGCUCAGACGCGAAAGCUAGGGUAGCAAACG